rnacentral:snRNA from 1 species
GGAUGUGAGGGAGAUCUGGCUGAGACAUCUGUCGUCCCAUUGAUCAACAGGGUUGGUCUGGUGAGCUGAGUCUCCAUGUGGGUGUCCCCUUCCUCCUGCACCACUCGAUGUGUGUCCCUCCCAAAGCUCUGCACCUGAAGAGAAUGACUUGUCCCAAUAAAGUAUGGCUGGUGGGUUCCUCUAUUGG